rnacentral:lncRNA from 1 species
GCUUAAAAAGCUUCAGUGCACUUGAUGAGUGUAACAUAUUUGGAUUAUCAUAUUCAACAAAAAAUAUGAAUGUAUUUUCUCUCGUUAUAUUAUCGUUAGUAUGCACCUUAAAAUGAUUUACUUUGGAUUUACUAUAUCAUAAUAAAUUUAUUAUUUUGCUACCCUUUAUUGUUGCGGACGUACACAUACAUGUAUCUACUAUUUGAGUAAGAGGCAACACUCAUCAUAAUUAUUGAUUACAUUCUUAAUAUUUCAUCUCAAUAUAUCAUACAUACACAUUGACAUGGCCUAGAAGUGGCAUACAUUAUCUGGAUCUUGUAUACGAUGUAGAUAACGAACUAUGAAACAGAGAGUUGCAUCAGGUUGUAUACUAUAGUUUUGUUCCCUGUUUCUCAAAGCCCUUUACCAUAUGAGAAGUUUAUCCUGUAGUCAUACACUAUUUGUAUGCAUUUACCUUUAACGUUUAUUAAGUUCUUAUUAUAUAUUCUAUGGCUUGGAAUAACACUUCAAGCAUAUGUUCGGAUCUUGGCUACAAGUUAACUCAUUUUCACGUAUGCAUUUUAAUUAUGUACAGCUCAUGUUAUAUAUAUUUGCUUUAUGAUUAAUGGUUCAUAUACGCAUGACCAUUCACAAUUAUAUUUUAUACUUUCUCCCUGAUGUCACACACAACAUUAUUCACCUCAUUUAUCACAACUAUAGAGAAAGGUAUAAUAGACAUGUAAGUAUGUAAUGAGGAGUGAUAAAGACAAACAAAUCUACAGCAUCAUCUUUUCUCAACACAUGCAUUGACCUUAUCCAUUUAAUUUUGUCUUGGACAAUUAAAUAUUGCAUUACAGAUGGGGAAAGGUUAAGGAGUACAGAUCUACGACGAUAAAAUACGGUGAACAAAUGUUGAUAUUUCUAGCUUAUGAAAAUCACCUGUAUUGUCUCUCUGUGUUUUCUGCAAUUACAACAAUGAGUAUAUAGGAAAAGAAGUUGUGUGGAUGGAAAUUGAUAAUAAUCGUCCCAGUCAUGCAAUAUAUAUAUUGAUAUUUAUAUUUAUGUAGCUUGAUUAACUAUGAUAAUGUUUUAUAGUUUAAUGAUGUAUGCUAUUUAUACAUUGUUUUGAACAGUAUUUUAUUUAUUUUCAUAUUUCGACUACGGAGAAAAACGUUUGGUGCUCACAUAACUUACCAGAUCUGCGAUACUAAUGACGAGUUUACUUGAAACAAAGAACUAACACCAAUUGAAAAUGUUUAGUCUAGACACAGAGUUAAUUUUAAUGGAAC